UUCGAUCACCGGGGGUGUCUGCCGCAGGCAGACUGAGAGAUACCCCAGAACCUGAUCUGGGUCAUGCCAGCGGAGGGAGCGUGAUGCGCGGCCAGU
rnacentral:ncRNA from 2 species